GACGAACGCUGGCGGCGUGCUUAACACAUGCAAGUCGAACGGGUCUGCCUUGUUUUUUGCGGGGUGGGUCAGUGGCGAACGGGUGAGUAACACGUGAGUAACCUGCCCCUCACUUCUGGAUAACCGCUUGAAAGGGUGGCUAAUACGGGGUGUUCUGGCUGUGCCGCAUGGUGUGGCUGGGAAAGAUUCACUUUUGUGGUGUUUUGGUGGGGGAUGGGCUCGCGGCCUAUCAGCUUGUUGGUGGGGUGAUGGCCUGCCAAGGCUUUGACGGGUAGCCGGCCUGAGAGGGUGGGCGGUCACACUGGGACUGAGAUACGGCCCAGACUCCUGCGGGAGGCAGCAGUGGGGGGUAUUGCACAAUGGGCGGAAGCCUGAUGCAGCGACGUCGCUGUGAGGGAUGGAGGCCUUCGGGUUGUGAACCUCUUUCGCCGGUGAAGAAGGUCCUGUUCUUUGUGGUGG
rnacentral:rRNA from 1 species